rnacentral:rRNA from 1 species
UACGGGGGGGGCAAGCGUUUGUUCGGAAUUACUGGGCGUAAAGGGCUCGUAGGCGGUUUGUCGCGUCUGCUGUGAAAACGCGGGGCUCAACUCCGCGCCUGCAGUGGGUACGGGCAGACUAGAGUGCAGUAGGGGAGACUGGAAUUCCUGGUGUAGCGGUGGAAUGCGCAGAUAUCAGGAGGAACACCGGUGGCGAAGGCGGGUCUCUGGGCUGUAACUGACGCUGAGGAGCGAAAGCGUGGGUAGCGAACAGG